GUUAGCUACACUUUCUAGAAAGAUACUUUUCAUACCGCCCUCGCUAGCAUAGCUCGAAGAAAUUGGUGGAAUGCAGGAGAUCCAGAAGAUCAUCCGAUUGCACAGUUAUGUUAAAGCUUAAAGCUCAGCUUAGGAAUGCAAUAGGUACAGGCGAAUAGACUUUAUUCAUGUGAAAUCAUUCCCCUGCAUAGUUUCACUUACGGCACACGUAUAUAUAGGUUUUCGUUAUUUUCGCAAUCGCAGAGUGAAUGGUGAAGACACGUGGAGUUACAUAACUUCCAAUUUUUCACUAUUAUCUAAUCAUCCGCUGUUUAUAUGGAUUAAUAAAUCCGAAGAGUGGCGUUAGCUGAACUACCCGAGGGAAAAGUGAAAAUAAAGUGAAAUUCUUGAAAGAAGCAAAGGGAUAGGAGUACUGGAAAAUCUUAAUACAGCCAAGCCGGCCAACCAAUCUACGGUAUCAA